GAUUCUGUUUUACUUGGGUAACUCCUUGCUCUGCGGGAAUGUAAUACUUUUUGUUGAGAUACAGGCCUGCGGUCUGGAGAGACCAAGGACUUGAGAAUGAGCAUCAGCACGUAUCACGCGGGCCCCAGUCCCGCGACCACCCGACAAGGUUCUUUCUGGUCGCGGGACCCCAAGGGGCCGAAAGCUGGGGGCCCAGUGCGCAGACAGUAGGCGCACUGCACCUGGGCUUCGGAUCCAUCACCGCGGGUUUGUCCUGACCCUCAUGGUCCAAGGGUCCAGCACAUACAGCGCUUCGCCGGCUGAGCCCCGCUGUGUGCCGAGCCGGGUGACCGCUCCCAUCAGGGAGGAAGCUGAGCGCUCGUGGAUAUGGCAUAAGCCACAAAGCCGUUGUGAACUGGGCUGCUGGCAGGCUGUCCCCAGCCCCGGGAGCCAAUGGCUGACCGCCAGGAUGGCCCUGGCCGUUGGGAAGGCCACCGCCAACAAUAGUAUUCCAAACUGGUUGCUCUCGAUUUUUAAAGAGCCUGCGUUUCUCUUGAGGUUCCUGAGCUGAAUGGAGAAACACUGACCCUUGGGUUUCUCCUGCACAGUAGUGACUAAGUGAGGGGCGGGGCCGCCAGGCUUGGGCAGAGGAUGGGGUUACUGCGCCCAGUCCCCGACUGUUCAGUGUCCGGCCAUGUGCGCGCGCUGCACCCGGGCCUGCGUGGGGAAACAGGGAGUGCAGACAGGGCCUCUGCGCCUGCGCGGCUGCUGUUCUAGGGGAGCAGGCUCGACAGACAACAUUUUGUAAGAAACUUCCACUAAGGAGACUGAGACGAAGAAUGACAAAGUGAGACAGAUAAAUGGAGAGAGGCAGGAAUGGGAGUCCUAGAUACGGUGGUCAGCAGGCUCUCUGGACAGGUGACCCUUGAGCAGGAAGCUUAAGAACCACACCUUAUUCCGGGGAAGGAUGUCCCUGGCUGAAGUGGGUCAGUGCAAAGGCCAGAAGCAGGGAAUCCAGAGAAGAUCGCCACAAAAGUGGCAAGAAUAGCGUGAGAAUUCCCAGAUUCUCAGAUUCCCAGAUGUUAAACUUUUACUAAGAGAGUGUAAGGCAUCUGGAAAUGGGGUCUUUGAGGGUGUGAUCAACUCAAGAUGACGUUGUACUGGACAAAGAAGGGAGUUCUAAAUCCAAUAAGACUAAUGUCCUCAUAAGAGGGAAAUGUGGCCACAGACCAAGGAAGAGGAGACAGCCACAUGAAGACAGAGGCACAGGCUGGAGUCAUCUGGGCAUGAGACAAGAACAUGGGCAGCUAGCAGGAGCUGAAAGAGAUGGGAGGACCCUCUGCCAGAGCCCUCAGAGCGAGUGAGGCCUCCAGGAUUGCGAGAGACAAGAGUCAGCAUCAAGUCUUCUGAAACACGCUGCCAUGGAGAAGAGGAGAGGGAGUGGCGGAGUGUGGGUUUAACUGUUGGUAUUAAUCGCUGCACGUGGGCUUGGGGGCAGAUGUCUCCCUCCCCUCUCAUGUGUGCGUGUGGAGGAAUUCCCCAGCUCGUCCCCACUGCUUCCUCUGGUCUAGGUUAUGUGGAUUACCUGGGAUAAGAAGCUGAUGCCUCCUCUUCCCGACAUGCUCUGCGUUGCCUGUGUCUGGCUUGGCAAGGACAGGAAUCCAGCCCCCAGGGCUAGUUCAUGCUGCCCUGUCCAAAGCCCUCAGAGUCUAAAUCCCUGUGCACCUGGACAGAACCGUCUCUUCCCAACUUGCUUGUCUGGACCUACGAGUUCUCGGAGUGCCUGGUCUGAACCACCUCUUCUAGUUGACCAUACUUUUCUCCAGGGUAGAGCCUAUUUCGACCCUGAAAUGCCAGGUGCCAACAACGUAUUUAUUCCAUCUUGCUCACUUUUGGCAUACAUGCGGGCAUGUGCAACGCACGUACCCACACACACAC
ensembl:lncRNA